AUUGAACGCUGGCGGCAGGCCUAACACAUGCAAGUCGAGCGGCAGCGGGAAAGUAGCUUGCUACUUUUGCCGGCGAGCGGCGGACGGGUGAGUAAUGCCUGGGGAUCUGCCCAAUCGAGGGGGAUAACUACUGGAAACGGUAGCCAAUACCGCAUACGCCCUACGGGGGAAAGCAGGGGACCUUCGGGCCUUGCGCGAUUGGAUGAACCCAGGUGGGAUUAGCUAGUUGGUGAGGUAAUGGCUCACCAAAGCGACGAUCCCUAGCUGGUCUGAGAGGAUGAUCAGCCACACUGGAACUGAGACACGGUCCAGACUCCUACGGGAGGCAGCAGUGGGGAAUAUUGCACAAUGGGGGAAACCCUGAUGCAGCCAUGCCGCGUGUGUGAAGAAGGCCUUCGGGUUGUAAAGCACUUUCAGCGAGGAGGAAAGGUUGGUAGCUAAUAACUGCCAGCUGUGACGUUACUCGCAGAAGAAGCACCGGCUAACUCCGUGCCAGCCGCCGCAGUAA
rnacentral:rRNA from 1 species